UCUUCUAUACAAUUGUGAAAAAUCUAUAUAUCUAUAUAAAUGAGAUGGAUUUGGGCGCAUAUGUAUUUGGACAUCUUGGCUGAUGUGGCAAUAUAGUUUAGGAGGGAAAUCACAUAUGGCUUCUACAAUCACUAUUUCAAAAUAAAAAAUGCGGGAUCCGAAAUGUAUUGGGUCGGGUUUUUUGUUUCCUUUUUUUUGAAUUCGGGUCAUAGUAUAUAUUUCCUUUUUUUUCUUAAUCUUCUUGCACACACUUUACAAACCCUAAAAAACUAAGUUGCAUCCUCUCUCCUAUCGCCACCACCAAGAUCCUCAAUUCCAAACCAUAGCCAAACCUCUGCAACAUCAUCUUCUUUACACAAAUCAAUCCUAUUAACCAAUCAAAGGUAUGUUUCUAUGUUUUUGAUUUUAUUGUUUCUGAUUUCUUUGUUUUACAAUUGUAAUCUACACAAUCGAUCCUAAAUCUGCUUUAUUUAUGUUAUUCAAUUCUAUAGAAACUUGAUUUUAUAAAGAUUGCUUCGAAUGCUAUUAACUUCUUCUUUGUCCUAAACUUUGUAGAUCUGAUCAUAAAAAUUGAAGGUAUGUUGUUUUAAUUUGUUGUUUAUCUAAUGUGUAUCUUUAAUCAAGCGAUUGAACAUUUAUCUUUUUGUUUUUUUGCAAACAAAAUCAAGAUCAGAGGUUUUAUUAUCAUCAUCUACAUUCUCCGAUUUAUGUAGUGUCUAUGAACGUUAAUCAUCUCUUCGACAUUUAUCAAAGUUACUAAUUUUUGUUGAUUUUGUUUUUCAUGUGGAACCCUAAAUCUUGGAUAAAAUCGGACUCCGAUCAUUCGUCAAACAACAGAGUUAUGGAUCAUGAAAACAACGCUCCUUCGUUGUUAAAGUUGAUUAAGGACUAUGAUCUUAUAUUUUUUGAAUUGUUCGUCGACCAAAAAUAGUUAUGGAUCAUGAAAACAACACUCCUUCGUUAUCAAAGUUGAUUGGGGACUAUGAUUCUAUAUUUUUGGAAAUACCGUAUGAUUUUGCAACCUUAUUGUGGGGAGAACAACUUCCAUAUGUCAAUGUCUUAAAAUUAUUGAUGAUGAUUUAUCUUAUGGAUCCUAAAAACAUCUCUCAUUCGUUGUUAAAGGUGAUUGAGGAAUAUGAUCCUAUAUUGAUGGUGAAGAGCUUUUUUCAGACUCAUUCCCCUACAAGGAACUCUUGAAUGGGAUCCUAUGAGAAGUUGAAGGAAAGGUGUUUAUUUUGGAUGGUCCGGGGUUUUUGGCUGCAACUAUGUUGGGCAGAGAUAUGGUUGUUAUGGCUGGAAAUUGGUACCAUGCCGGUUGGUUUGCUUGACAAGACUCCUUCCCCUACAAGUAACUAUUGAAUGGGAUCCUUUGAUAAGUUGAAGGAAAGAUAUAUCUUGCACCGUUCUUUAUCUAUAUCUAUAUAUCUAUAUAUCUUGAAUGGGAUCCUAUGGGAAAUUGAUCUCUAUUCGAUUAACUGAUGUAUAUUCUUUUCCUCACCAUUUUGUUCCAUUAAUCAACUCAUGUGUGCUCUUAUGUUUGAUACCCGAUCUUAUUCCAGUGAUUAAUGUCCGCUUGAGUAACCCAAUCUGAGUUUGAUUUUUUUUCGUUAACGAUUCAGGUGUUUAUUUUGGAUGGUCCGGAGUUUUUCGCUGCAACUAUGUUGGACAGAGAUAUGCUUGCUAUGGCUGGAAAUUGGUACCAUGUCGGUUGGUUUUGCUUUUCAAGAUUUGUGACGAUGCGUCGGACAAACAACAUUGGGAUAAGAUACAGCCUUGAGCCUUGGCAAGUUAACACAUUAGUUAGGGUUAUGAAGUUUUUCAUGGCACCGACACAUUAUUGAGCAGUAGCGCAUCAGACUCAUUCCCCUACAAGGAACUCUUGAAUGGGAUCCAAUGAGAAGUUGAAGGAAAGAUCUUUUUCCAGUGAUUAAUAUCCGCUUGAGUAACCCAAUCUGAGUCUGAUUUUUUUCGUUAACGAUUCAGGUGUGUAUUUUGGAUGGUCCGGAGUUUUUGGCUGCAACUAUGUUGGACAGAGAUAUGCUUGUUAUGGCUGGAAAUUGGUACCAUGUCGGUUGGUUUUGCUUGGCAAGAUUUGUGACGAUGCGUCGGACAAACAACAUUGGGAUAAGAUACAGCUUUGAGCCUUGGCAAGUUAACACAUUAGUUAGGGUUAUGAAGUUUUUCAUGGCACCGACAUAUUAUUGAGCAGUAGCGCAUCAGACUCCUUCCCCUACAAGGAACUCUUGAAUGGUAUCCUAUGAGAAGUUGAAGGAAAGAUCUUAUUCCAGUGAUUAAUAUCCGCUUGAGUAACCCAAUCUGAGUCUGAUUUUUUCGUUAACGAUUCAGGUGUUUAUUUUGGAUGGUCCGGAGUUUUUGGCUGCAACUAUGUUGGACAGAGAUAUGUUUGCUAUGGCUGGAAAUUGAUUUGUGACGAUGCGUCGGACAAACAACAUUGGGAUAAGAUACAGCCUUGAGCCUUGGCAAGUUAACACAUUAGUUAAGGUUAUGAAGUUUUUCAUGGCACCGACACAUUAUUGAGCAGUAGCGCAUCAGAUGACCAGUGUAUAUCUCUACUUGAGGAAUUCUCCAAAGAUCCAGAGCCGAUUGUUUCAUAGAGCUGUAAAGUUGCUCUAAACAAACUGGAUUUUGAACGAUCCGGCAAACCAUUCGAGUACCUCUUUAUGUAGGCACCUCAAUUGCAGGAGGCAGCAUGAUGGUUUCACUUUGUUGUGUGUUUUGUUACCAUUGAGUACUAAAUGACAUACAUUUGGAUAGAGUUUUGAAUGAUUUACUCAACAUUAUUAUUUGAAUGGUUUUUUAGUGUGUGUUUUAUUUA